UUCGAAUGAAGGCUUAACUUGUUUAAAAUAAUUUGUUCUUAGAGGAUUCAAAUUAAGAGCUAAACAACACUAACGCAUACAGAAUCUGAACUUUCACGCCAAUUCGAAUGAAGAAAACGAAAAAGAACUUAGAAAUGAGAAGGGUCCAGUGGAAACAUACCUCACCCUUUUGACCCACUACAAGCACAUCAUCAUCGUCGUCUUCAAUUGAAGCAGUCUUCGUCGUCUUGUCAGUCUCCGAUGUGGAUGAGACCGGUGGAGAGUAUAGGUCGAAGUGGAGGUCGAGAAACGAUUGAUUUCUUAAAUUUGGGGAUGAUUUUAUUAAAUUGGUUUAGAUGUGUUGGUUAAAUAUUGGUUUAGAGAUUUUAGUUGGUUUAAUUCAAUUUUACAAAAUUUGAUGGGUUAAUUGGGUAAACCACUAAAACCAUUAACCCAUUACAACCCAACUCAUUUUACUCAUCAAACCAAUUGACUCAUCAACUCAUUUGACCCAUCAACUCAUUUGAGUCAAAAAUUUCAACCCAUUAGGGUUCAUGGGUUGAAUUGAGUUGAGUUGACCCAUGAAUUUUGACCCAUUUUGACACCCCUACUUCUUCCCAACAUAAUUAAAAACUCUCUACAAGUUACAUAUAUUUUUUU
rnacentral:sRNA from 1 species